rnacentral:rRNA from 1 species
GACGAACCUUGCUAACGUUAUUCGGAAUUACUGGGCUUAAAGGGUGCGUAGGCGGUGCAGCAAGUCGGGUGUGAAAUCCCUCAGCUCAACUGAGGAACGGCGCCCGAAACUGCUGUGCUUGAGGAAGAUAGAGGUACGCGGAACUUAGGGUGGAGCGGUGAAAUGCGUUGAUAUCGGGAGGAACACCAGUGGCGAAGGCGACUACCUGGCCUGUUCUUGACGCUGAGGCGCGAAAGCUAGGGGAGCAAACGGG